rnacentral:rRNA from 1 species
UACAGAGGUCCCAAGCGUUGUUCGGAUUUACUGGGCGUAAAGGGUGCGUAGGUGGCUUGGUAAGUUUGAUGUGAAAUCUCCGGGCUUAACCCGGAAAUGGCAUUGAAUACUAUUGAGCUGGAGGUUUGGAGGGGGGACUGGAAUUCUCGGUGUAGCAGUGAAAUGCGUAGAUAUCGAGAGGAACACCAGUGGCGAAGGCGAGUCCCUGGACAACACCUGACACUGAGGCACGAAAGCUAGGGGAGCAAACAGG